rnacentral:rRNA from 1 species
CGCAGCCGCGGUAAUUCCAGCUCCAAUAGCGUAUAUUAAAGUUGUUGCAGUUAAAAAGCUCGUAGUUGAAUUUCGGGAUCAAUUUAUCGGUCGUACCAAUGGUAUGAACUGGUACAAUUGGUUUCUCCCUUCUGACGAAGCAUGAUGUCAUUAAUUUGGUGUCGUGGGGAAUCAGGACUGUUACUUUGAAAAAAUUAGAGUGUUUAAAGCAAGCAUUAGCUUGAAUACAUUAGCAUGGAAUAAUGAAAUAGGACGUUUGAUCCUAUUUCGUUGGUUUCUAGGAUCGACGUAAUGAUUAAUAGGGAUAGUUGGGGGCAUUAGUAUUCAAUUGUCAGAGGUGAAAUUCUUGGAUUUAUUGAAGACUAACUACUGCGAAAGCAUUUGCCAAGGAUGUUUUCAUUAAUCAAGAACGAAAGUUAGGGGAUCGAAGACGAUCAGAUACCGUCGUAGUCUUAACCAUAAACUAUGCCGACUAGGGAUCGGAUGAUGUAAUUUUUUAAUGUACUCAUUCGGCGCCUUA